GGAAAAACAGCCAGGAAAAGUAUUUCAUACAUCGAAUUUCGAGGAGAAUAUUCGUAAUCUCUGGGAACAUUUGAAAAUGCAUAGCAUAACACGCUCAACUGGGAGGUUACUGUAAGGUGAAUUCGGCGAAGCAGUGAGUUUUUUCUUCAAUUGUUGAGCGAAGCAAAAGUCUCAAAAUCCAUUGAUGGAAGCCAAUGAAGCUCAAUUACCGACUUCUCCAUCAAGUUUCAAUUUCAGCCAACAACGUCAUUUCUAUCUAGCCGUCGAUAGACUUCACUUCAAAAUGGAGACUUUGGUGGAUCUGUUAGGUAUGGCUGGGCGGCUACGGUGCCUACCUAUUGUAGUUAGUUGCAGCACACGUGACGAGCUCGACGCUGUCUGCUCCGCCCUUUCCAGUCUCUCACAUACUACAAUCGCCGCUCUGUACAGUGAUCUUGCUGAAGCGGAACGUGCAACGGUUUUAGCUAGGUUUCGACAGGCUACAAUGAGGUGGAACAAGCAGGCUACAGCUGAACAUGGACAUGCAGGGGAAACAGAGAAGGAAGAGGAGAAAUCUCAUUUGGUAGUUGUCACGGAUGCUUGCCUUCCCCUUGUAAACUCCGGGGAGUCACCUAUUAAUGCUCGUGUCUUGAUUAAUUAUGAGCUACCAACAAAGAAGGAAACAUAUAUGAGGCGCAUGGCUACUUGUUUGGCAGCAGAUGGAAUUGUGAUCAACAUGGUUGUUGGAGGCGAAGUUGUUACUCUCAAAAGCAUUGAAGAAAGUAGUGGCCUUCUCAUAGCAGAAAUGCCCAUCAAUAUUUUUGAGAUGCUGUGAAGAUAUGAGGCCCUGCAAACGUCAUCUGAACAAAUGAGAUUUCAAGUAAUUAGAUUGUCUGAAGCCAAAUAAGUUCAUUGGGAUUUUUCCAAGAAGAUUUUGGAAUUGGCCUACUCAGGCCCAGAUCAAUGAAUUGGUUGCAAGAUGUGGAGCAUAUUUUUUUGGUCUAGCGUUUAGUCCCCACACUGUUAAACAGGUUACUUUUGUGUCUGCUUUGAAGAUAAAGACACCCAUUAAAAUCUUGUCUCCAAGAGAGAUUGUAGCGACUAUGGAGAUGGAGAAAUAGGUAUAUGUACGCAGAGUUGGAAGAUAUUACUAAGAAGAAAGAAGCAAAACAAGGCUAUUAAAAAACAAGACUAUUUUUGUGGGAAGGUAAGAUGUAUUUUUCUCCUGGUCGUUUUUUUUUCCCUAGUCGAUGUCUAAUCUCACAUACAGUUAGAUCCCCUGAAUUGUAGUCGAAUAAAGUUUUAUGCCCAAUUAGCUAUAAUAUUCUUGAUACACCUUGCAAA